rnacentral:rRNA from 1 species
UACAGAGGGUGCGAGCGUUAAUCGGCAUUACUGGGCGUAAAGCGUGCGUAGACGGUUAUUUAAGUCAGAUGUGAAAGCCCCGGGCUCAACCUGGGAAUUGCAUUUGAGACUGAAUAGCUAGGGUGCGGUAGAGGGAAGCGGAAUUUCCGGUGUAGCGGUGAAAUGCGUAGAUAUCGGAAGGAACAUCAGUGGCGAAAGCGGCUUCCUGGACCAGCACCGACGUUCAGGCACGAAAGCGUGGGGAGCAAACAGG